GACGAACGCUGGCGGCGUGCUUAACACAUGCAAGUCGAACGGAAAGGCCCUGCUUUUGUGUGGUGCUCGAGUGGCGAACGGGUGAGUAACACGUGAGUCACCUGCCCUUUACUUUGGGAUAACUUCAGGAAAGUGGGGCUACUACCGGAUAGGAGCUCCUGCUGCAUGGUGGGGGUUGGACAGUUUCGGCGGUUGGGGAUGGAUGCGCGGCUUAUCAGCUUGUUGGUGGGGUAGUUGCUUACCCAGGCUUUGGCGGGUAGCCGGCAUGAGAGGGUGGACGGGCACCUGGGGACUGAGAGACGGACCAGACUCCUACGGGAGGCAGCAGUGGGGAAUAUUGCACAAUGGGGGGAAGUGUGAUGAAGAAACGCCGCGUGCGGGAUGACGGCCUUCGGGUUGUAAACCGCUGUAGCCUGUGACGAAGCGUGAGUGACGGUAAUGGGUAAAGAAGCACCGGCUAACUACGUG
rnacentral:rRNA from 1 species